rnacentral:rRNA from 1 species
UACAUUUGAGUGAGUGGCGAACUGGUGAGUAACACGUGGGAAACCUGCCCAGAAGCGGGGGAUAACACCUGGAAACAGAUGCUAAUACCGCAUAACAACUUGGACCGCAUGGUCCGAGYUUGAAAGAUGGCUUCGGCUAUCACUUUUGGAUGGUCCCGCGGCGUAUUAGCUAGAUGGUGRGGUAACGGCUCACCAUGGCAAUGAUACGUAGCCGACCUGAGAGGGUAAUCGGCCACAUUGGGACUGAGACACGGCCCAAACUCCUACGGGAGGCAGCAGUAGGGAAUCUUCCACAAUGGACGAAAGUCUGAUGGAGCAACGCCGCGUGAGUGAAGAAGGGUUUCGGCUCGUAAAACUCUGUUGUUAAAGAAGAACAUAUCUGAGAGUAACUGUUCAGGUAUUGACGGUAUUUAACCAGAAAGCCACGGCUAACUACGUGCCAGCAGCCGCGGUAAUACGUAGGUGGCAAGCGUUGUCCGGAUUUAUUGGGCGUAAAGCGAGCGCAGGCGGUUUUUUAAGUCUGAUGUGAAAGCCUUCGGCUCAACCGAAGAAGUGCAUCGGAAACUGGGAAACUUGAGUGCAGAAGAGGACAGUGGAACUCCAUGUGUAGCGGUGAAAUGCGUAGAUAUAUGGAAGAACACCAGUGGCGAAGGCGGCUGUCUGGUCUGUAACUGACGCUGAGGCUCGAAAGUAUGGGUAGCAAACAGGAUUAGAUACCCUGGUAGUCCAUACCGUAAACGAUGAAUGCUAAGUGUUGGAGGGUUUCCGCCCUUCAGUGCUGCAGCUAACGCAUUAAGCAUUCCGCCUGGGGAGUACGGCCGCAGGCUGAAACUCAAAGGAAUUGACGGGGGCCCGCACAAGCGGUGGA